rnacentral:rRNA from 1 species
ACCCAGGCGCCCGCCGAGGAACCCAAACUCUUCUGUUUUUUAGUUGUAUCUUCUGAGUGGAUUUAACAAAUGAAUCAAAACUUUCAACAACGGAUCUCUUGGUUCUGGCAUCGAUGAAGAACGCAGCGAAAUGCGAUAAGUAAUGUGAAUUGCAGAAUUCAGUGAAUCAUCGAAUCUUUGAACGCACAUUGCGCCCGCCAGUAUUCUGGCGGGCAUGCCUGUUCGAGCGUCAUUUCAACCCUCAAGCUCUGCUUGGUGUUGGGGACCGGCCGCAGCCUCAGUGCUCUGCCGCCCCCUAAAUACAGUGGCGGUCCCGCCGCAGCCUCCUUUGCGUAGUAGUAAACCACCUCGCACAUGGAACGCAGCGUGACCACGCCGUUAAACCCCCAACUUUCUGAAGUUUGACCUCGGAUCAGGUAGGAAUACCCGCUGAACUUAAGCAUAU